rnacentral:rRNA from 1 species
UACCCGCAGCACAAGUGGUGGCCAUUAUUAUUGGGCCUAAAGCGUCCGUAGCUGGCCUGUUAGAUGCCUGGGUAAAUCGAUGCGCUCAACGUAUCGAACUCCGGGUAGACCGGCAGGCUUGGGACCGGGAGAGGCGUGAGCUACUCGGGGGGUAGGGGUAAAAUCCUGUAAUCCUCCGGGGAGGACCAGUGGCGAAGGCGUCACGCUAGAACGGCUCCGACAGUGAGGGACGAAGCCCUGGGGCGCAAACCGG